rnacentral:misc_RNA from 1 species
GGAAGGAUCAUUAAAGCGUUGUCUAGGUGGAGCCCGACCGUCUCGGAUUGAAAUAUAUUCGGAACGGUGUCUAGGUGUUCCCUGGCAGUUGCCCAUUCUUGUCUACUGACCCAGUUGCCUCGGCGGGCCGAGCCGUUCGCGGCCGGCCGGUGGGAGUUUCGGUUCGCCCAGCGUGGGCCGCCGCUUCCUCGGGCCUGUGCCCGCCGAUGGACAUUUAAAAAUCUAAUAUUUUGAACGUCUGAGCAUAAAGCAAAAUCUUUUAAAACUUUCAACAACGGAUCUCUUGGUUCCGGCAUCGAUGAAGAACGCAGCGAAAUGCGAUAAGUAAUGUGAAUUGCAGAAUUCCGUGAAUCAUCGAAUCUUUGAACGCACAUUGCGCCCUCUGGUAUUCCGGAGGGCAUGCCUGUUCGAGCGUCAUUGCAACCCUCAAGCUCGGCUUGUGUGAUGGGCGACCGUCCUUCCCCUAGGGGCGGGACGCGUCCGAAAAGCAGUGGCUAGGCCGCGACUCCGGCGCCUGAGCGAAUGGGAUUUCCAACGCUUAUAGGACCGGCCGGUUUUUUGGCCUUAUAAUCUAGAUCUUUAUUGAUCUAUCAAGGUUGACCUCGGAUCAGGUAGGGAUACCCGCUGAACUUAAGCAUAUCAAUAAGCGGAGGAAAAGAAACCAACAGGGAUUGCCCCAGUAACGGCGAGUGAAGCGGCAAAAGCUCAAAUUUGAAAUCUGGCUCCUUUAGGGGUCCGAGUUGUAAUUUGCAGAGGAUGCUUCGGGAGCGGCCACGGUUUAAGUGCCUUGGAACAGGACGUCAUAGAGGGUGAGAAUCCCGUCUUGAGUCGUUGGUCCGCGCCCAUGUGAAGCUCCUUCGACGAGUCGAGUUGUUUGGGAAUGCAGCUCUAAGCGGGUGGUAAAUUUCAUCUAAAGCUAAAUAUUGGCCGGAGACCGAUAGCGCACAAGUAGAGUGAUCGAAAGGUUAAAAGCACCUUGAAAAGGGAGUUAAACAGCACGUGAAAUUGUUGAAAGGGAAGCGCUUGCGGUCAGACUCGGGUACAGGGUUCAGCGGGUGCGUGUCACCCGUGUACUCCCUGUUUCUCGGGCCAGCAUCAGUUCUGACGGCCGGUCAAAGGCCUCUGGAAUGUGUCGUCUCUCGGGACGUCUUAUAGCCAGGGGUGCAAUGCGGCCUGUUGGGACUGAGGAACGCGCUUCGGCUCGGAUGCUGGCAUAAUGGCCGUAAGCGGCCCGUCUUGAAACACGGACCAAGGAGUCUAACAUCCACGCGAGUGUUCGGGUGUCAAACCCGUGCGCGAAGUGAAAGCGAACGGAGGUGGGAGCCUUAGGGCGCACCAUCGACCGAUCCUGAAGUCUUCGGAUGGAUUUGAGUAGGAGCGUGGCCGUUGGGACCCGAAAGAUGGUGAACUAUGCCUGAAUAGGGUGAAGCCAGAGGAAACUCUGGUGGAGGCUCGCAGCGGUUCUGACGUGCAAAUCGAUCGUCAAAUUUGGGCAUAGGGGCGAAAGACUAAUCGAACCAUCUAGUAGCUGGUUCCUGC